rnacentral:lncRNA from 1 species
GUUAAGCAAGAGAGCCUCCCCAGAAGUCAUUCAUCUCUCCUCAGAUGUAGCCCCGUCGCUGUAAGCACUGGGGGUUUUCUUCUCCUGUCCGCAAUUACCAGCUAGCAGCUGAGAGUCGAAAGGAAUCUGGGCUAUCUUUAGGAAACAAGUACCUACUCCUUGCCUCCUCCCAGGAAACAAGUCUUAGCCCUGUGAGUCAGCAUUUCGAGAGCUGGGACGCGUUUAUAGCAGCAGUUGGUGAGAUGGUACCAGGUGUGUGGAGGUUGGGUGUAUUAGAAUAUAGGGCUCUUGGCAAGUUUGGAUCCUUGCUAGAAACGAAAACAUUAUGGCAAAAAAAGCUUUACAUGGUUAAUGUAAAACUGACAACACAGCGCUUCUAAGAAACAGAAGACUUGCUUCACCUUUCAUGUACGUGCAAC